rnacentral:lncRNA from 10 species
UCCAAGUGUACUUUACUUCCUUUCGAUCCUACUCUGAAGCUUUUUAAUAAGUUUUCACUUCUCCUCUGAAACUUGCCUCAGUCUUUACUUCUGCCUUAAGAAAGAAUUGCCUCAGUCAAUUCUUUCUUCCCAGGAGGUAAGAAUUGAAGUUGCUGCAGAUCCAUAUUAAUUCCCAGCCAGUAACAGUAGAUCUUAGUGAGGCAUGUAUAGGUGUUUAUUGCACUUUUCUUUCAAUGGAGGGAUGGUAAGAGCAUGGCACAGAAUUCCUAAUGUGUGUUUCAAGGGCCCAAGCACCAUGUGAAUCAAGAACCAACUUCUUUGGAAACUUCAAGAUGCUGGUCCUAACAGUUUGUUCUGCUUGUUCAACUAUCGUUCCUAGGGUCCUCUCACUAAAGCAAGGUCAGGAAGAGCCACCUGCUGAGCCAUGGAGGAAGAGCAUCCCAGGUACAAGGAGCAGCAAGGGCAAAGGCCCUGAAACCCGAUGACUCCUGUGUUCCAGGAACAUCCAGGCAGCCGGAGCUUAGUGAACACAGAGCAGAGUGGGGGAGAGGAUGUGGCAGAGGCUGGUAGAGGUAGAUCUCAUGGGCCUUUGAAAGCUACCAUAAAUAAUUUGAAUUUAGGCCGGGCACGGUGGCUCAUGCCUGUAAUCCCAGCACUUUGGGAGGCCGAGGUGGGUGGAUCACUUGAGGUCAGGAGUUCGAGAUCAAGCUGGCCAACAUGGUGAAACCUCAUCUCUACUAAAAAUACAAAAAUUCACCAGGCAUGGUGGUG